rnacentral:piRNA from 1 species
UCAUAACACUAAUUUAAGAUU